rnacentral:rRNA from 1 species
CCUACGGGGAGCAGCAGUGAGGAAUAUUGGUCAAUGGGCGCGAGCCUGAACCAGCCAAGUAGCGUGAAGGAUGACUGCCCUACGGGUUGUAAACUUCGUUUAUAAAGGAAUAAAGUGAGGCACGUGUGCCGUUUUGUAUGUACUUUAUGAAUAAGGAUCGGCGAACUCCGUGCCAGCAGCCGCGGUAAGACGGAGGAUCCGAGCGUUAUCCGGAUUUUAUGGGUUUAAAGGGAGCGUAGAUGGGUUGUUAAGUCAGUUGUGAAAGUUUGCGGCUCAACCGUAAAAUUGCAAUUGAUACUGGCAGUCUUGAGUACAGUUGAGGUAGGCGGAAUUCGUGGUGUAGCGGUGAAAUGCUUAGAUAUCACGAAGAACUCCGAUUGCGAAGGCAGCUUACUAAACUGCCACUGACAUUGAUGCUCGAAAGUGUGGGUAUCAAACAGGAUUAGAUACCCGGGUAGUC